rnacentral:lncRNA from 1 species
CCUCUUUUCUAGAGUCAAUAGAUCAAAAUAUUACCAGGAAAGAAAAAAAGCCAUACAGAUUUUGUGCAUCAUAUCAAAGUGGACCUGAAUUUAUUUACUUAAGAGUUUGCAUUUACUUAUGGCUCUAAAACAAAAUAAAAAAGAGUGAAGCCCCCUGGUUCUAGAUUAACGUUUCUGUUGCAUUCCAAUUGCUACAAUUGA